rnacentral:lncRNA from 1 species
UUAAUUUUUUUUUUUUUUUCUUCCGCCUAAUUUUUUUCUAGCGGUGUAAAAAUGUUUCAAAAGAUGUCGCUUAGUUUUUUUGUAUAUGAUAUCAUACAGUCUAUACGCUUUUGAAACUCACCCUGUUUAACCGAACACUUUUCUUUGUAAGAGUUAUCUCCCCAAACACUGUUUUUCUUGUUAUCAGAUCUCCUCCGCAACCAUAAAAGAAAGCGACAAAUUUAUUUUUCCAAAUUGCUCGUUAUAUCCUCAGGAUGUUACGUUUUAUUUUGACCGAAGCUUUACGAAGACCCCAUAUGAGAG